AAUGCACUUAACCCCCGACCUAAAGGUGAGUUAAGGUAUACCCCUGACCUUUAAAUUUUCGCAAAGUGCCUCCCAAUCUUACCGGAAGUAAGCAACAUGCCACCUCGAUUAAAUUCCAUCUAAAAGAGGAUUCAUGCCACUCACUUAAAUUAAAUUAAAAAGGAUAAAAUUGUCCCUAUAUUUCUUAAUUACUUGCAAAAAAAAAAGGUAAAACAAAACAAAAGGAACAUAAGAGAACAGUGGAACGUAUCCAUCUUCUAGGCGACCCUAUCUCCCUGACCUCCGGUUCAAGCCAAUCCCCACGACCCUAUUUCGCCUACCAGCUGCGGUGAUUUUCCCUGUGCGACUAGAUUACGACGCAGAGACCAAACUCUUGCCCUCGCGACUCCAUCACCAGCGAUUGGCCUCGACCGGACUCCAAUAUACACUGACCAACCCUACAAGCCCAUCUCCCCAAGUACCCACGAGGACCAUUUCCCUGCGCCACCAGACUCUGGUUCAGGUGAGGGGCACUCUGCCAAAAUUCAUAGGCAGGGGAGCAAACAUAAUUUCACCUCAUAAGUUGGAAGGUAAAGUGCAUUUAAUCCUUAAGAUAAAGAUAUAUUCACACGUUGAAUGCUAAUAAUUAUUGAUUGAUAUUAUUAUUGUUAGCGAAGUGGAAAACCUUCUCGAGAACGGGAUCUCUAGGCAAGGUGCCAAUUGCCCCUUUGGAGCUGGAAAAGACAGAAAUUACUCUGUACACAAAUUGGGGUUCAAUAAUUUUCAUAAAAUUAGUUCGUUCCGCUUGAUAAUCUCAAUAUUUUUUCUCUUAGAUAGAUGUAUUAGCGUGCCUCUGGCAUGAAAUCUCUAGGUUGGUCCCGAUUCAUAUCGUAUUUGUUAGAUAACUUUAUGUACCACAUAAAACAGUGCAACAGGGACCCAACCAAUUUGGCAAUGCUAAAGCAAAGGAACCCAAGAUUUAUACGCCCUUGAA